CACCCCAGAAUUCCCUGCCUCCGUGCAUGUUAUGGCACCUUUGGGAUGUGUUAGUCAUAAGAAUGAAGCUACUGGUGCUUUGCAGGGAUAUUUUCACUCUGGCUCUCGCAGGAGAGCUCUGACACAGCCCUGCUGUCGGCACGGCUGGGGCGCCUUUGCUCGCUGGUGCCUCCUGAGAUUCCAGACCGCUCCAAAAAAAAAGGGGGAAACGUCCAAUUUUUAUUUCCUCAGGGAACACCAAGAAAAUUUUUCUUUCCGAGCCUGUCUCCUGAAACGAGCUCCAGGAGUGGUCACAACCUGCCAUAAAAAUGCCAUGUGCAAGAGAAUAUAUUUAAUAUCAGGCAAGCAGAAUGGAACGAUACGAUCUGUUUGGGGUUCGAAGGCAAAGGAGGAUCUGCUCCUUCACCAUCUGUGCAGCCGCUGGCAGGGGCAGCUCCCCAGUGACACCAAAGGAAUUCCCCGAGCCCAAAAACGCCCCAGGCAUCGCCUUUGUGAAGGACAGAACUUCACAAAGUCCAUCCCACUGACGGAUGACAGAGUGCCCUGUGGUUCCAGAGCUGGACCUGAUCUGGACACCCAGCAGCAACACCAAGGUGAAAGGAUUCCCACAAAUCCCAAUUUUCCUCUGGAUUUCCUUUGGAAUUUAAGAAUUUAGAUAAAAGGAGAGAGAGAGGAAAAUCAAAAAAGAAAAGAGGAAUAUUAAAAUGACCUGAAAAGCGUCGCUGCCAGUUUGUAAUGUGAACCUGAAGCUGUAAAAUGAUGACAAGUAUGUGAAAUUGGGAGAUGCUGGCUGACAUUUCAAGAGUACAAACAUCCCCAGCUUCAUCCAGAUUGCAAAAUAUCGAUGAUUUCAAAUGGAAAAAUCCAAUGGGCCAAACACUGGUUCCACUUUUCUAUUUUAGGAACACCUAAAAUGUGGUUUUUGUUGUUUUCUAAGAGGAUCUGAGCAGAUCCUGGAAGUGAAAUGACUCAAGUUUAACGUGGAGGAUUAGGAGAAACAAAACCAAACCAAACUAAUAAAAUUAAAAC
rnacentral:lncRNA from 1 species